GGCCGCGGGAAUUCGAUUCAGGCCUAACACAUGCAAGUCGAACGAUGAAGCCGCAGCUUGCUGUGGUGGAUUAGUGGCGAACGGGUGAGUAACACGUGAGUAACCUACCCUCCACUCUGGGAUAAGCCUGGGAAACUGGGUCUAAUACUGGAUAUGACGCAUGCUCGCAUGGGUGUGUGUGGAAAGAUUUUUUGGUGGGGGAUGGGCUCGCGGCCUAUCAGCUUGUUGGUGGGGUGAUGGCCUACCAAGGCGGUGACGGGUAGCCGGCCUGAGAGGGCGACCGGCCACACUGGGACUGAGACACGGCCCAGACUCCUACGGGAGGCAGCAGUGGGGAAUAUUGCACAAUAGGCGAAAGCCUGAUGCAGCGACGCCGCGUGGGGGAUGACAGCGUUCGGGUUGUAAACUCCUUUCGCCAGGGACGAAGCUU
rnacentral:rRNA from 1 species